ensembl:lncRNA
UUUCAAGUCCAGUACACCAGUGCCUCAGAAUGAGACCUUAUUUGAAAAUAGGGUCCUUGUGCAUGUAUAAUUAGUUGAAUUAGGAUGAGGUCAUAUUGGAGUUGGGUUGGCCACUAAGCUUAUGUGACUGAAGCAGGGGAAAUUUGGGAAUUCCCAUUGUGUCUCAGCAGAUUAAGAACCCAACUAGUAUCCAUGAGGAUGCAGGUUCAAUCCCUGGUCCUUGUUCAUUGUGUUAAGGAUCCAGUAUUGUCACGAGUUGUGGCAUAGGUCACAGACAUGGCUCAGACUGUGGUGUAGGCCAGCAGCUGAAGCUCUGAUUCAACCCCUAGCCUGGGAACCUCUAUAUGCUGCAUGUGCAGCUGGAAAAAAAAAAAAAAAGGUGGGGGGGAUGGAUUUGGACAGGUACACAGGGAGAAGAUGUGAAGAUGAAGGCAGAAAUCAGGGAGAUGCAGUAGAAGCCAAGGAAAGCUAAACAACAUCAGUAAACAACCAGGAGCUAAAGAGGCAACAAACAGAUUCUCCUUCACAGCCCUUGGAAGGAACCAACCCUUCGCACAUUUUGAUCUUAAACUCCCAACUUGCAUAACUGUGAAAAAGCAAAUUUCUGUUUUUGAAACCAUGCCAUUUCUGGCACUUUUUUACAGGCAACCUAGGGAAAUUAUACAAUAAUCAAAAUAUAUACUUUUUAGGCAUUAGGUAUUUUUUCACUAAUUUUUAUGUCAGGUUGCCUUUGUUAAUGUCAAAGAAUUCAAGUAAGAGAAAGAAGGAGAAACUGUGGAAAGAAUGGGCUACAAAUAGCAAGAAAUGGGAGCACGGAUUGAAACUAUAACAUCAGUGAUUCUAAUUCGAAGUCACUCAGACUCAUUUAUUAAUCAUUCACACUAUUUUCACUUUCUCGUUUUAUGUGUCCUCCCGGCCUUUUCCAGUUGGGUCACAUUUCUCACCUCAGUGGCACUUGAGGUUUCCAUUACAGGGCCAAUCUAAGAAGAUAAAACAAGCCUACACUAUGUACAAUUUUCUGUUCCUGAUUGAAUAGUCCAACAUGAAAAAUAUGGCUUCAUAAGAAACCAAAAUGAGCAUUUGAUGCAACAUUUUGAAAUGUGCCCAAGUUUUGCCACUACCGCCACUAACUUGAUGGGCAUAACUGCCUCCCCCAAUGGCAGGAAGGUGCUCAGGCUGAUAUAAAUAUCACUUCAUAUUCCCAGGCAGUGAACCUUUUUAAAGAUAUUAGCCUUGCAGAAUAUAAUAGAUCGAAAAAGAAGAAAAUUGCCUUAGAAUUGUAGGAUUAAAUAGAAAGUGUCUUUUAGGAUCAAUUGCUCUAUUUUCAGCUUGUAAGUUGAUAGAUUUGCAUUUUUUGCAGUGCAUGUGUAUGGCAGAACUUCUGACAAAUGACUGAAUGCAAGAAAUUGGGUGACCACAUGAUGACCCUUCAAAUAGGAAAAUCACUCCUCUACUCGCACUUCACUAGGAUCAGUUUCAACAAGAGAAUCUGAGGAACUGGACAUAGGCAAUUGCUUUUACAAAGGGUUUCCCUGAAUCGUAUUACAGCAAAGCCUGUGUUCUUGGCCCAACUUCCUCAUGCUGCAGAUGAGGAAAUUCAAGGACAGAUUUUUUGGUGUUUUUAAAUGACUUCAUAAAGGCCACUCAGGUUGUUGCAACAAAGUAAAAGCAUCAAUUUUGUUAUUUCAAGUCCCAUUUCUGAUCAUUAGAGCAACGUAUGCUGCCACUAAUAGGUAAACCACUCUCCUAUCCUAUUCCCUCUAAAGUUAUUGACAUAAAAUGUUGAAGCCAUUAAAAGCAAGAAUGAAAGCAGACUUUUCUUCAUUGCAUAUUAAGGGAUGCACUUUGCUUCCCAAUUUCGGGAAUUAUACAGAAGAUUGUCAUGUGGGCUACAGAUUCAGCAUCAUCCAAGUCACCUGAACUUUCACCUACAGCCUGUGCCCUAAGACUUAUAUUCCAACACUCAGUAUAAGAAUAAAUAACCCAACUGUCAUAAAUAUUGCCAACUUUCUUUAGAGAUAGAUUUCAAGUUAUCAUAAACUUCCAUUUCCUGUAAAAUCUCCUAGCUUUUAUUUUUGUCCACACUUCAUGGUAGGUGGAAGUUCACAGGCAAGGGGUCAAACUGGAUGGAGCCACAGCUGUGACCAGAGCCACAGCAGUGACAAUGCCAGAUCCUCAACCUGAGUCAUGAGGGAACUGCAGGCUCUUACCUUCUUAAUUGCUUUGAUAGUGUGAGAUGAAGGAGGAUAAAUACUAAUAAUAAUAGUAAAUGGGAUGUGUCAACCCCAAUAAGGCUUAACAGCCUUAUGGUAUAGAAAAACACUGUGUCACGUCACUGUUUUGCUCUCAUAUAUAUUUACUAAUUGUUCUUUCUGUCCAGUUUAUUGUAAGCACUUGAACCAUAGAGGUGAUUUAUUGUUUUCAAGUCACCCAUUCUUAAGUGUGAUGUGUCACAACUCAAUAGAAAUUAGGAUAUUUUUGAAAGAGGUCUGUUUACCCUAUUGUGCAUAUGGUCAGCCCUAGAGAAGCCAUCUCAUUUCUGAUAACCUGUUUAAGUACCAGUAUAUUCUUUAUCUAGAGACCUGACAAAGGUAACAUAAAGGAUUGGCACACUGCAAAAUUAUUUACCACAAACUAGAGAUGAAGAGCAGUAUGUGUUCUGAUAAGGUAUUAUCAGUUGUCAUCUCAUUAAGGAAAUAAUGAAGGCCAUUUUCCACUCAUGGCAGGAAAAAAAAAGUAGGCUGUGGUGUGCUCAGUGGGAAGUAAUGACAGUGGUGAAAUCUAGCAAAGGAGGCAGGAGGCACAAAGGAGUUCAGCUGAAAAAAUUUAGGAAAAAAAUUUGUAGGUCAUUCAGAACUUGUAGAGAAAAGAGAGAGAGAUCAAGAACUAUAAACUGACUUGCCGUGUUUUAAUCAGAAGAGUAAAAAGAGUCAAAAGUAAGAGGAAAUUUGAGUUAAAUCGAAUUAGAGUUUGAAAUGAAAUAAGGCUAAAGCCGGAGGUAUUGUUAGAGAGAGUUAGUAUCAAGUUAAUCAGAGUUCUAGUCAACUCUGCUCUGCUCUGCUGGAGACUGGUAGAAAACAACAAAUCAGAAGGAACUAGUCUCUAGACAGUGUAGAUCAAAUCAUAAGCACACCCAGGAGUUCCUGUUGUGGCUCAGUGGGUUAAGAACCUGACGUAGUGUCCAUGAGGAUGCAGGUUUGAUCCCUGGCCUGGCUUGGUGGGUUAAGAUUCCAGUGAAUUGCUACAAGCUGUGGCUCUGAUCUGGCAUUGCUGCAGCUGUGACAUAGGCCUGCAGAUACAGCUCUGGUUUGAUCCCUAGCCUGGGAAUUUCCAUAUGCUACUGGUGGGUCCCUAAAAAGAAAAAGGAAAAAGAAAAAAAAAAA